rnacentral:tRNA from 1 species
UGGCCGAGUGGUUAAGGCGGCGGCCUGCUAAGCCGUUGGGCUCUGCCCGCGGGAGUUCGAAUCUC